UUUGAGCCUCCGGCUCGCUGACUGAGAACCCGCUAGGAGAGGAGCCCCCGGGUGAUGCCCGCGGGUGGCAGGGCGGGCCGGCCACGGGCUCGGAGCCGGAGACCCCGCGGGAGAGCCUGCACACUCAGCGUCCGGGGCGGAGGGAGCGCUCACGGGACAGCCCUGCAGAGGAGAGAGGGGGAAGUGGUGCGCCUCGGGCGGAGCCAGGGCACUCUCAGGUGGAGCCCAGGUGUGCUCCCCGGAGACGAGCACAUCCCUGGAGGGUCACUGCGCAGCCCAAGGAAGAACCGAGGGGCCUGGGGCUGGCACGGCUGGUCAGAACCUGCCUGGUUUGCGCCUGCUGCCCCGAGAGGCUGUGGCUGGUAUACCGAGAAGCAGCUUUGGCCCCAGAGGUCCCCCACCGGCAUGACCGCCUGACCGAGGAGGAGGGUGUCCCGCUCCUUGGCCGAGGCCGGCUGCGUGGGCGGGCCCGGGGCUCCAGAGCCUCACCACCUGGAGGGGGCGCCCAGAGCAAGCAGAGGGGUGGCACGUGGGUGACCCCCAGGAGAAGUCCCCUGUUCUGGGCCACCAGCCACAUCUCCACCUGAUUUCAGAGCCUGUUUUCCCAAAGCAGCCAGGGUUGUUUUCUUCCUUGGUGCUGUCGCUCAGCCGUGCCUGACUCUUUGCAACCCCAUGGACUGUAGCCCACCAGGCUCCUCCGUCCAUGGGCAUCUCCCAGGCAAGAAUACUGGAGCGGCUUAUCAUUUCCUUCUCCGUGGGAUCUUCCUGACCCAGGGCUGGAAACUGCAUCUCCUUCACUGCAGGACAGCGCGUAACCCUGAGCCGGCAGGGAAGCCGGCUCGAAUGUGUCUUCCUCAAGUGGCCGUGUCACGCUGUAGUGUCUAGUUUCCUGCCAAAACUGUCAGGCUUUGCAAGUUUCCCCCUUGAACACAGUCAGCACAGCUGUCUAAGAGUCUUGGACUUCCCUGGUGGCACAGUGGACAAGAACCCGCCUGCCAGUGCAGGGGAUGGGGGUUCCCGCCGAAGCGCCCAGAGCCUGUGCUCUCGGGCAAUAAGAAGCCCUCGCACCACAGCCAAGAGCAGCCCCCCCUCUCGCUGCAACUAGAGAAAAGCCCGAGCAAAGCAACAAAGACCCAGCGCAGCCAUAAUGUAAAAAUAAAUAACAUUUUUAAAGUG